GGAAGGUGGGGAUGACGUCAAGUCAUCAUGGCCCUUACGACCAGGGCUACACACGUGCUACAAUGGCAUAUACAAAGAGAAGCGACCUCGCGAGAGCAAGCGGACCUCAUAAAGUAUGUCGUAGUCCGGAUUGGAGUCUGCAACUCGACUCCAUGAAGUCGGAAUCGCUAGUAAUCGUAGAUCAGAAUGCUACGGUGAAUACGUUCCCGGGCCUUGUACACACCGCCCGUCACACCAUGGGAGUGGGUUGCAAAAGAAGUAGGUAGCUUAACCUUCGGGAGGGCGCUUACCACUUUGUGAUUCAUGACUGGGGUGAAGUCGUAACAAGGUAACCGUAGGGGAACCUGCGGUUGGAUCACCUCCUU
rnacentral:rRNA from 1 species